UACGGAGGGUGCAAACGUUGCUCGGAAUCAUUGGGCGUAAAGCGCACGUAGGCGGUCCUUUAAGUCGGGUGUGAAAGCCCUCGGCUCAACCGAGGAAGUGCAUUCGAAACUGGGGGACUUGAAUACUGGAGAGGAUGGCGGAAUUCCCGGUGUAGAGGUGAAAUUCGUAGAUAUCGGGAGGAACACCAGCGGCGAAGGCGGCCAUCUGGACAGAUAUUGACGCUGAGGUGCGAAAGUGUGGGGAGCAAACGGG
rnacentral:rRNA from 1 species